rnacentral:rRNA from 1 species
GACCUGGCUGGGCGGUCUUGCCGAAAGGUAAGCACUGCUCUGGUUGGGUCUUUCCUUCUGGGGAACCAGCGUGCUCUUAAUUGAGUGCGCUGGGGAUCCAGGACUUUUACUUUGAAAAAAUUAGAGUGUUCAAAGCAGGCUUACGUCUGAAUACAUUAGCAUGGAAUAAUAAAAUAGGAC